rnacentral:rRNA from 1 species
UACGGAGGGGGCGAGCGUUAUUCGGAAUUAUUGGGCGUAAAGGGCGCGUAGGCGGCCUGAUAAGUCAAAGGUGAAAUCCCUCGGCUCAACUGAGGAAUUGCCUUUGAAACUGUCAGGCUUGAGGCCGGGAGGGGGUGGCGGAAUUCCCAGUGUAGCGGUGAAAUGCGUAGAUAUUGGGAGGAACACCAAUUGCGAAGGCAGCUCGCUGGGACGUCACUGACGCUGAGACGCGAAAGCGUGGGGAGCGAACAGG